GAGUUUGAUCUUGGCUCAGGAUGAACGCUGGCGGCGUGCUUAACACAUGCAAGUCGAGCGAAGCGAUUUCAAGGAAGUUUUCGGACGGAAUUGAAAUUGACUGAGCGGCGGACGGGUGAGUAACGCGUGGGUAACCUGCCUCAUACAGGGGGAUAACAGUUGGAAACGACUGCUAAUACCGCAUAAGCACACAGUGCCGCAUGGUACGGUGUGAAAAACUCCGGUGGUAUGAGAUGGACCCGCGUCUGAUUAGGUAGUUGGUGAGGUAACGGCCCACCAAGCCGACGAUCAGUAGCCGACCUGAGAGGGUGACCGGCCACAUUGGGACUGAGACACGGCCCAAAUCCCUACGGGAGGCAGCAGUGGGGAAUAUUGGACAAUGGGGGAAACCCUGAUCCAGCGACGCCGCGUGAGUGAAGAAGUAUUUCGGUAUGUAAAGCUACUAUCAGCAGGGAAGAAAUGACGGUACCUGACUAAGAAGCCCCGG
rnacentral:rRNA from 1 species